rnacentral:rRNA from 1 species
UUGGAACUGCAUUUGAUACUGGCAAACUAGAGUAUGGUACAGGAAUGGGGAAUUUCUGGUGUAGCGGUGAGAUGCGUAGAGAUCAGAAGGAACACCAAUGGCGAAGGCAACAUUCUGGACCAAUACUGACACUGAGGGACGAAAGCGUGGGGAUCAAACAGGAUUAGAUACCCUGGUAGUCCACGCUGUAAACGAUGAGUACUAGCUGUUGGAUUCGGUGUAAAGGAUCUAGUGGCGUAGCUAACGCGUUAAGUACUCCGCCUGGGGACUACCGCCGCAAGGCUAAAACUCAAAGGAAUUGACGGGGACCCGCACAAGCGGCGGAGCAUGUGGUUUAAUUCGAUGCAACGCGAAGAACCUUACCUGGUCUUGACAUCCUGCGAACUUUCUAGAGAUAGAUUGGUGCCUUCGGGAACGCAGUGACUGGUGCUGCACGGCUGUCGUCAGCUCUUGUUGUGAAAUGUUGGGUUAAGUCCCGCAACGAGCGCAACCCCUAUUGAUAGUUACCAUCAUUAAGCUGGGUACUCUAUUGAGACUGCCGCUGACUAGGCGGAGGAAGGUGGGGACGACUUCAAGUCAUCUUGGCCCUUACGACCAGGGCUACACACGUGCUACAA